UAUAUAAACGGACAGAAUUUCAUCUCUCGCUGAGCUACCUAGUAACAUCCUAAUAACCAUUACGUGGACCUCAGAUGGGGAGGGUUUACAGCUGAGAUUGACGUGUGUUUCAAUGGCAGCCGGAAAGAGAGAAAGCGGGGCGACAAGACGAGCACACAGCCCAAUAGAAACGGUACUAAGGAGUCACCUGUUGAUCCGUAGGCUUUAUGAUGGGAGAGAGCUUUCUCCGCCUGUGAUCUGCCAGCCUCUCUACAAACCAUGGUUGCCAACAUUUACUGUCAUCCUUUCUUCCCCCAACCUUCCCUUCCCACCCCCCAACCUUCCCUUCUCUUCCCUUACUAAAUUGUCACCACCACCCCACCCUCCUCUCCCAGUUGCUCCCAGUCCUGUUGCAUAGCUACCUGCUCUGCCCAUGAAACACACUGGAGAUGGAAGACAAUGAUUAUAGCUGUGAGCAUGCACACUAUCCAGAUGAUAAAAUCAAGCCAAAAGCAAAUAAAAAUGGGAUUUAUCUCCUUGUGGAAGUUCA